CGUGUGUGUGUGUGUUCAUGUGUUUAUAUGUAUGCAUGUGCAUGAGCAAACCUCCCCUGAGAAUACAAUCUUCUAAUGAACAGGAGCUGGAAAGCCUAGAUGAAAAACUGACGGGCCUGCUGAAGCAGAAGGAGCUGGUCACCCAGCAAGGGGACUUGGCAGAAAAGCUGCAACAUCACUUCAGUAUCUCUGAGAUGAGCUCAGAAAAUCUCCAGCAUGACCUGGAACAUGUCACAGCCCAGGAUGAGAGCCUCCUGCAGACAGAGCUGCUGGAGCAGGAGCACUAAGUCUUACAGGCAAGUGAGCCACCACAGCAUCCCAACACUCAUGCUGCUGGGGCUCUUGACCUUGGCCUCUUCUGUGUGAAUAGGCCCUGGUUUUGUCUAGCCUGUGUGGGUCCAGCCAGGCUACUUGUGGGAGUGAUUGCCUUUCCUUCUCACAGAGCAGCCCUUAAGAGAACUGAGGAAGCUGAAGAAGCCACAAACACGUUGGAUCCAUGAAUCUCUCCACCCUCAUAUCAAGGCCUCCUCAGAUGAAGACAUGCCUCAUAGGUGUGAACUCACCAGGGAGACAAACACCAAUUGACCUCCAGGUGAUCCAGCCCCCAUCAGAUCCAUGGGUCUGUUGACUCAGUACUCCUGAAGAAAAGAAAGCAUCAAAAAUGAGCUUGAGAUACAGAAAACCUGAGACAAGAAUUACUGAGAAGUCUGACACUCAAUAGCAAGUGGCCCCUGUGAGGGGUAUUACAACAUGGAGGGAAGAGAUGUGGUAAACAAGACAUUUUCUGACAGUUUAAUGUCGAUGGCUUUGGCAAGCUGACUGACUUCCCUAGCUCUCCCUACAUGGUGGGAAAUAUGUCAUGGAAGACUGUGUUGAUGUCUAGCUCUUCUAAACAGACCACACCCAAAAGCAUCAUAUUUUAUUCUCCAGUCCAGUGUUGAAGCUGACUCCAUGUCAUGCACCAGUGUUGCUGAAGAAAAUGCACUACAGAGGUGGCAGAAGUCCCUCAUUCCUGUGUUAGUCAUUUUUUUCCUCCAUAUGUAAAAUUUGAGGGUAUUCUUCAGUUUCACAGCCUGGCCUGAAGUGACUGGUCUUGAGAAAGAAUUUAAUAGAAGACAUCUGAGGCAUCUUUGAUGUUCUUGGGCACUCAGAUGCUGCCUAUGGAUUUGUUGUGUAUCCAGUAAGCACAUAAGUGUUUGUAGGUUGAAAGAUUCAAAUAGUGACCAAGACAUUAUAGGAUCAGCAGUGGGUGAUAAUUUAUCAAAAGCUUCCCAUAGUGCCACAAACAAUGUUCUAGAAAAUGUC